rnacentral:rRNA from 1 species
GGUUAAGCUACUAAGAGCACACGGAGGAUGCCUAGGCGCUAGGAGCCGAAGAAGGACGUGGCGAACAACGAUACUGCCUCGGGGAGCUGUAAGCAAGCUUCGAUCCGGGGAUGUCCGAAUGGGGAAACCCAGCUAGUGUAAUAGCUAGUUACCCGUAUCUGAAUACAUAGGAUGCGAGGAGGCAUACCCAGGGAACUGAAACAUCUAAGUACCUGGAGGAAGAGAAAACAAGAGUGAUUCCGUCAGUAGCGGCGAGCGAACGCGGAACAGCCUAAACCAGAGAGCUUGCUCUCUGGGGUUGUGGGACGUCUCACAUGGAGUUACAAAGGAACAUAUUAGGCGAAGAGGUCUGGAAAGGCCCGCUAUAAGAGGUAAAAGCCCUGUAGCCGAAAGUAUAUUCCCUCCGAGACGGAUCCCGAGUAGUGCGGGGCACGUGAAACCCCGUAUGAAUCCAGCAGGACCAUCUGCUAAGGCUAAAUACUCCCUAGCGACCGAUAGUGAAGCAGUACCGUGAGGGAAAGGUGAAAAGCACCCCGGAAGGGGAGUGAAAUAGAACCUGAAACCGUGUGCUUACAAGAAGUCAGAGCCCUAUUUAUGGGUGAUGGCGUGCCUUUUGUAGAAUGAACCGGCGAGUUACGUUCCCAUGCAAGGUUAAGGCGAGAAGCCGUAGCCGCAGCGAAAGCGAGUCUGAAUAGGGCGACUUAGUAUGUGGGCGUAGACCCGAAACCGUGUGAUCUACCCCUGUCCAGGGUGAAGGUGCGGUAACACGCACUGGAGGCCCGAACCCACGUAUGUUGAAAAAUGCGGGGAUGAGGUGGGGGUAGCGGAGAAAUUCCAAUCGAACUCGGAGAUAGCUGGUUCUCCCCGAAAUAGCUUUAGGGCUAGCCUCGGAAUGAAGAGUCGUGGAGGUAGAGCACUGAUUGGGUGCGGGGCCCGCAAGGGUUACCAAGCUCAGUCAAACUCCGAAUGCCAUAGACUUAUAUCCGGGAGUCAGACAGUGAGUGCUAAGAUCCAUUGUCAAAAGGGAAACAGCCCAGACCAUCAGCUAAGGUCCCCAAGUGUGUGUUAAGUGGGAAAGGAUGUGGAGUUGCACAGACAACCAGGAUGUUGGCUUAGAAGCAGCCACCAUUUAAAGAGUGCGUAAUAGCUCACUGGUCGAGUGACUCUGCGCCGAAAAUGUAACGGGGCUAAACACACCACCGAAGCUAUGGCUUGAUGCGUAUGCAUCAGGGGUAGGGGAGCGUUGUAUGUAGGUUGAAGGUGUACCGUAAGGAGCGCUGGACAGCAUACAAGUGAGAAUGCCGGUAUGAGUAACGAAAAGAUCAGUGAGAAUCUGAUCCGCCGAAAGCCCAAGGUUUCCUGAGGAAGGCUCGUCCGCUCAGGGUAAGUCGGGACCUAAGGUGAGGCCGAAAGGCGUAAUCGAAGGACAACAGGUUGAAAUUCCUGUACCACCGUAAACCGUUAUGAACGAUGGGGUGACGCAGGAGGGUAGUGACGCGGACUGAUGGAUGUCCGUCCAAGCAGUGAGGCUGAUGUGUAGGCAAAUCCGCACAUCGAUAAGGCUGGGCUGUGAUGGGGAGUGAAAAUUACAGUAGCGAAGGUCAUGAUCUCACACUGCCAAGAAAAGCCUCUAGUCAGGUGAAGGUGCCCGUACCGCAAACCGACACAGGUAGGCGAGAAGAGAAUUCUAAGGCGCGCGGAAGAACUCUCGUUAAGGAACUCGGCAAAAUGACCCCGUAACUUCGGGAGAAGGGGUGCCUCGGUAGGGUGAAUAGCCCGAGGGGGCCGCAGUGAAAAGGCCCAAGCGACUGUUUAGCAAAAACACAGGUCUGUGCGAAGCCGUAAGGCGAAGUAUACGGGCUGACGCCUGCCCGGUGCUGGAAGGUUAAGGGGAGCGGUUAGGGGUUAAACCCGAAGCUGUGAACCGAAGCCCCAGUAAACGGCGGCCGUAACUAUAACGGUCCUAAGGUAGCGAAAUUCCUUGUCAGGUAAAUUCUGACCCGCACGAAUGGCGUAACGACUUGGGCGCUGUCUCAACGAGAGAUCCGGUGAAAUUUUAAUACCUGUGAAGAUGCAGGUUACCCGCGACAAGACGGAAAGACCCCAUGGAGCUUUACUGCAGCUUGAUAUUGGAUUUGGGUACGAUCUGUACAGGAUAGGUGGGAGCCUAAGAAGCAUGAGCGCCAGCUUGUGUGGAGGCGACGUUGGGAUACCACCCUGAUCGUAUCUAGGUUCUAACCUGGUACCGUGAUCCGGUACGGGGACAGUGUCAGGCGGGCAGUUUGACUGGGGCGGUCGCCUCCUAAAGAGUAACGGAGGCGCCCCAAGGUUCCCUCAGAAUGGUUGGAAAUCAUUCGAAGAGUGCAAAGGCAUAAGGGAGCUUGACUGCGAGACCUACAAGUCGAGCAGGGACGAAAGUCGGGCUUAGUGAUCCGGUGGUACCGCAUGGAAGGGCCAUCGCUCAACGGAUAAAAGCUACCCUGGGGAUAACAGGCUUAUCUCCCCCAAGAGUCCACAUCGACGGGGAGGUUUGGCACCUCGAUGUCGGCUCAUCGCAUCCUGGGGCUGAAGUAGGUCCCAAGGGUUGGGCUGUUCGCCCAUUAAAGCGGUACGCGAGCUGGGUUCAGAACGUCGUGAGACAGUUCGGUCCCUAUCUGUCGUGGGCGUAGGAAAUUUGAGAGGAGCUGUCCUUAGUACGAGAGGACCGGGAUGGACGUACCGCUGGUGCACCAGUUGUUCCGCCAGGAGCAUGGCUGGGUAGCUACGUACGGACGGGAUAAGCGCUGAAAGCAUCUAAGCGUGAAGCCCCCCUCAAGAUGAGAUUUCCCAAUUUAGUAAGACCCCUUGAAGACGACGAGGUAGAUAGGUUGGAGGUGGAAGUGCAGCAAUGCAUGGAGCUGACCAAUACUAAUCGGUCGAGGGCUUAUCCAA